GGAGAUGUGGCUGAGCUGGUCGAAGGCGCCUGACUCGAAAUCAGGUAUACGGGUAACCGUAUCAGAGGUUCGAAUCCUCUCAUCUCCG
rnacentral:tRNA from 1 species